UGAACAAUCUGCCCUUCUCUUUGGAAUAAGCGUUGGAAACGACGUCUAAUGCCGAAUACGACCUCCUUUCGCAUGAUCGGAGGUGGAAAGCUCCGGCGGAGAAGGAUGAGCUCGCGGCCUAUCAGCUAGUUGGUGUGGGUAAUGGCCCACCAAGGCGACGACGGGCAGCCGGCCUGAGAGGGUGACCGGCCACACUGGGACUGAGACACGGCCCAGACUCCGUACGGGAGGNAG
rnacentral:rRNA from 1 species